GUGAGUGUAGCUCAGUGGCAGAGCACUUGUGUGGCAUGCACAAGGUCCUGGGUUCAAACCCCAGUGCCUCCG
rnacentral:tRNA from 1 species